CCUGCAGCUAGUUCAGAUAAAGAGGGCAUUUAACUGUCAAGGGAACCUGAGAGGAGACUCUAGUAAUCUGGAAAGUCUGUUGGAUCUUUGAGGGAUUUUGGGAUGGUGAGAGUGGGGCUAGGAUCUCUGGCUAGGUUGGAGCCAGCCUGCAUUUGUAUCUGUAUCUUGGAAGCAAACUUAGAAUGCAGAGACAGAUGUGGCAUGGACGCUGUCAGCUCUAGCCAACCACUAAAUCCUAAGGUGGGAGAGAUGCAGGCUUUGGCUAGGUGCUAAGCUGCUGUAGCCGGUUGAAUGUAGAGGUCACUAUCUUUUCCGAAUACCUGUAAGUAAAUUAAAUCAUUCUCUACUCCCAUGUGCCUGCCAACCUAAUGGGAAAUCGCUAUAGAAAAGAUGGUUUAAAUUUUAGUCUUUGAAGUGGUUUAUGCACGUUUCCGGAAUCAAGAUUUAAUGCAG
rnacentral:lncRNA from 1 species